rnacentral:rRNA from 1 species
GACGAAUGCUGGCGGCAUGCUUUACACAUGCAAGUCGAACGGUAACAGGUUAAGCUGACGAGUGGCGAACGGGUGAGUAAUGCAUCGGAACGUGCCCGAUCGUGGGGGAUAACGCAGCGAAAGCUGCGCUAAUACCGCAUACGAUCUGAGGAUGAAAGCGGGGGACCGUAAGGCCUCGCGCGAUCGGAGCGGCCGAUGUCAGAUUAGGUAGUUGGUGGGGUAAAGGCCCACCAAGCCGACGAUCUGUAGCUGGUCUGAGAGGACGACCAGCCACACUGGGACUGAGACACGGCCCAGACUCCUACGGGAAGCAGCAGUGGGGAAUUUUGGACAAUGGACGCAAGUCUGAUCCAGCCAUUCCGCGUGCAGGAUGAAGGCCCUCGGGUUGUAAACUGCUUUUGUACAGAACGAAAAGGCUCUGGUUAAUACCUGGGGCUCAUGACGGUACUGUAAGAAUAAGCACCGGCUAACUACGUGCCAGCAGCCGCCGCCG